AGUGAACGCUGGCGGUAGGCCUAACACAUGCAAGUCGAACGGCAGCACAGUAAGAGCUUGCUCUUACGGGUAGCGAGUGGCGGGCGGGUGAGGCAUACAUCGGAAUCUACUUUUUCGUGGGGGAUAACGUAGAGAAACUGACGCUAAUACCGCAUACAACGUACGGGUGAAAGCAGGGGAUCUUCACACCUUGCGCGACUGAAUGAGCCGGUGCCGGAUUAGCUAGUUGGCGGGGUAAAGGCCCACCAAGGCGACGAUCCGUAGCUGGUCUGAGAGGAUGAUCAGCCACACUGGAACUGAGACACGGUCCAGACUCCUACGGGAGGCAGCAGUGGGGAAUAUUGGGCAAUGGGCGCAAGCCUGAUCCAGCCAUGCCGCGUGAGUGAAGAAGGCCUUCGGGUUGUAAAGCCCUUUUGUUGGGAAAGAAAAGCAGUAUGUUAAUACCCCGCCGUUCUGACGGUACCCAAAGAGUAAGCACCGGCUAACUUCGUG
rnacentral:rRNA from 1 species